GCUGGCGUCGGGCAGCGGUUCGCCCACGCCGAUUCCGGCGGCGGUGACGAGGCGCACGGGUUUGCCGGCCAGCUGCGACAGCUGCGCCAGCGC
rnacentral:tRNA from 1 species